UGGGUUGAAGCCUUAUGAUGAGGUGCUUGGCCGUUAACCGAGAGAUAACAAGAUCAAUACUUGUCAGCUCAG
rnacentral:tRNA from 1 species